CUUGACUUUUAAUCAAGUUGUCCGGGGUUCGAAUCCCCGAUGUCUCA
rfam:Blautia sp. CAG:52 genomic scaffold, scf34